UAGGGUUUGAUCCUGGCUCAGAACGAACGCUGGCGGCAGGCCUAACACAUGCAAGUCGAGCGGCACCUUCGGGUGUAGCGGCGGACGGGUUAGUAACGCGUGGGAACGUACCCUUUUCUACGGAAUAGCCUCGGGAAACUGAGAGUAAUACCGUAUACGCCCUUUGGGGGAAAGAUUUAUCGGGGAAGGAUCGGCCCGCGUCUGAUUAGAUAGUUGGUGGGGUAAUGGCCUACCAAGUCUACGAUCAGUAGCUGGUUUUAGAGGAUGAUCAGCAACACUGGGACUGAGACACGGCCCAGACUCCUACGGGAGGCAGCAGUGGGGAAUCUUAGACAAUGGGCGCAAGCCUGAUCUAGCCAUGCCGCGUGAGUGAUGAAGGCCUUAGGGUCGUAAAGCUCUUUCGCCAGAGAUGAUAAUGACAGUAUCUGGUAAAGAAACCCCGGCUAACUCCGUGCCAGCAGCCGCGGU
rnacentral:rRNA from 1 species